rnacentral:rRNA from 1 species
GACGAACGCUGGCGGCGUGCUUAACACAUGCAAGUCGAACGGUAAGGCCCUUCGGGGUACACGAGUGGCGAACGGGUGAGUAACACGUGGGUGAUCUGCCUGCACUUCGGGAUAAGCCUGGGAAACUGGGUCUAAUACCGGAUAGGCCAUGGACUUCACGGUUUGUGGUGGAAAGCUUUGCGGUGUGGGAUGGGCCCGCGGCCUAUCAGCUUGUUGGUGGGGUAAUGGCCUACCAAGGCGACGACGGGUAGCCGGCCUGAGAGGGUGUCCGGCCACACUGGGACUGAGAUACGGCCCAGACUCCUACGGGAGGCAGCAGUGGGAAUAUUGCACAAUGGGCGCAAGCCUGAUGCAGCGACGCCGCGUGAGGGAUGACGGCCUCGGUUGGUAACCU